UACGAGGGGGGCAAGCGUUGUUCGGAAUCACUGGGCGUAAAGGGUGCGUAGGCGGGUCUUUAAGUCAGGGGUGAAAUCCUGGAGCUCAACUCCAGAACUGCCUUUGAUACUGAGGAUCUUGAGUUCGGGAGAGGUGAGUGGAACUGCGAGUGUAGAGGUGAAAUUCGUAGAUAUUCGCAAGAACACCAGUGGCGAAGGCGGCCUGCUGGGCAGUUGCUGACACUGAGGCGCGACAGCGUGGGGAGCAAACAGG
rnacentral:rRNA from 1 species